rnacentral:rRNA from 1 species
UACGGGGGGGGCAAGCGUUGUUCGGAAUUACUGGGCGUAAAGGGCUCGUAGGCGGCCAACUAAGUCGGAUGUGAAAUCCCCAGGCUUAACCUGGGAACUGCAUCCGAUACUGGAUGGCUUGAAUCCGGGAGAGGGAUGCAGAAUUCCAGGUGUAGCGGUGAAAUGCGUAGAUAUCUGGAGGAAUACCGGUGGCGAAGGCGGCUUCCUGGACCGACACUGACGCUGAGGCGCGAAAGCCAGGGGAGCAAACGGG